AAAAAAAGGGCUGUAGACGCUCUCAUACAAACAAGAUCCAAUCGCCCACGCGCAGCCGCCCCACCAGCCACGACCGACCCGCAAACCCUAGCCGCCUCCGCCUCCACUUCAGCAAUGGUCGUCGCCUUUGCGGCUCGACGGCGAUGCCAGAUACCUCUCCCGCGCGCUGGCCUGUGCUGCGCCGCACAACCGGAAGCCCGGCGGCCGGCAGGACCAUGCAGGGGCAUGUUGUGGGUCGCCCCGGCCGACAGAAGCUCAGCCCCGCAUCCUUGCUGUACAGCAAAUCUCUGCCUUGUCCACACUCGCAAUUACCCCCAUCAAAGGAUGAAUUUUUCGAUAUGGUAGCUCAUCUUUCCCCAACCCCUCUUCGGUUUCCCCCUGCGAUUUGGGCUGCUCCGGCUGGCGGAUCUCCCGGUUAUUCUCAUCGGACAAGUUGCUUCUCUGUGUUGAUGGUUGCAGACUUUUAUUUUCAAAAUUGCUUCUUUUAUUUGUUUCUGGGAUGUCGUUUGAUUGCUCUACUAUUCGUUGUUGUAUAAGGGUUGCAAUUUUGUUUUUCGCAGGUUGCUGGUCCUCUCCGUCGCUGCGAUUGCUGUCAGCAGUUCUACAAUGAUGCAGCUGCACGUAAGCGGGAUGUAAUUGUCUUGUUGGCUCUGCACUGAUUGAUCAGGAAGCUAUGCUGGCAAUGAUUGUGCGCUACGGCGCUAGUGAAGCAUCUUCGAGUAGUCUUAUGUUGGUUUAACAAGGUUGGUCCUGGUGUCGCGUGCACACAGACCUGCGGCUCUUGUUGACCUGGUGGUUUUCGUCAGUCUCCGCCGACUGUUGCUCGGCGCCCACCAUGACCUCCUACCCGUGUGCUGUUGAAUGCUCAGGCAGGUGCCGUGGCCUCGUUCGCGUGGGCCUCCCCGCCUGCGACGGUGGCGCCAGCGCUGUACGGCCUCAGGUACAACCGUUAUAUCGGACAUACUUCUUGAAGUUAGCUUGCACCACUUCAGGGGGCCCACUGAUAUCCCAGAUUAGCACAUCCUAAUGUAUGAAACAGGAAUUAAAAAGAAAAUCAUAUAUGCUGCUGUUUUUUUUGUUUGAGUAAUCAUAUAUGUUGUUGUUACUGUCAAAGAGAUCUUCAUUACAUGAAACAACUGCACUUAACUGUUAGUAUAAUCAGUAUGCUUUACAUUUAUUUGAUAUAGCACCCAAAUUAUUCUAGAAAACUACAAUUACUGGUGGAUUAAGGGUUCACAUCAAGCUAUUGUGGAAUAAACUAUUCCCUCUGAUCCAUAUUAGCUAUCGCUCAAACGAAUGUAUCUAGCACUAAAAUACGUCUAGAUACAUCUGUUUGAGCGACAAGUAAUAUGGAUCGGUGGGAGUAUCAUCCUCUGGCUUAACCAUUGCUGCUGCUUUACUUGAAGUUACUUCCAAGACUAGCACCAAGCUAAUGGUCUAUUAUUUUUGUGCCAAAAUAUUCUCUUGAAUUAUUUGGUAUUCAUGUGGCCAUAGUACACAGGCCAACUAAAUACUGAUAAAAAAAUUUGAUUGAUAAUUUUUCAUGCACGGAUGAAAAGACGGAACUUGGAAUCACUAAACAGUUCUGUUGUGCAGUACCUGGAAAUUUGAGAGAUCAUAAGGUCGAGGGACAUGGAUUGAGAAAUUAUCAUCCAACCAUGCAGUUUUGGUUGUGUAUUAAAUUAUUGUAACUUAUAUUUUUCUUUGUAUUUGUCUCUUUUUGACAAUAAAAAUGGAUGUGGUAAUAAUCAUAUGGAUGAGUGUUUUUUGACAGCACCAUAUGGAUGUGUAUGCUAUAAUGCCCGACCUUCGUUUUAGUGUGUUACAACCCAUUCCUCUUAGAGAUGACAUAAUGUAGAAAGACAACUAAUUAUGUGCAUGAAGUCCUAUACAAUUUGAUUUUCUAUGCCAUGUUAGCAUUUGCUUAAUCAUGAACAAUCUUAGUGCAUAUGUUUCCUUUCAGGCGAGAUUCCAACUAACCUUUACAUUUUGCACAUGCUUUUCAAUAUUAGGUAACCUUUACGAUUCUACAAUAUCUGAUAUGUUUUGGAGUAGUUAGUUUAGAAACAAGUGGUAGUUUGGCUUUUACUUCUGUUAAUAAUCAUUUUUUGGUCUGUGCUGAAGACUCCUUAUUAUUUCCUUGUAUAUCUGAAAGGUUUUCCUUCUGAUUAUGUUUGCUGUAUACAACAGAUUGUUCAAAGUUGUAAUGUGUCUGUUAAGAGUUAAUGACCAGUUCAGUCCUUUUUUAAAAACUAAGAAAAGCUUAAGACAAGGGGGCCCCCUGUCCCCCAUUUUAUUCAACAUUGCUAUUGAUUUCUUGCAAGAACUUCUGGAGCUAUUUCUCAAGGAGAGAUUAAAGGGGCAGUGCCUAAUUCAGUAGAAGGUCUAGCGAUGAUUUAAUUGAUGCUGGAGAAAGAAAUGCUGGAAGGACUGUUGUAGUGGCAGUAUUUGUAUUUGUAAGAAAUUUAUUGUAAUAGGCAUGCUAAAGAUUUGGAUGGAAUGUGCGACUCGAUCGGUACUAUUUUUUCUACAGCUUCCUGGAAGUUCAUUUGGCCUAUCUGAUCUUCAGCUCUAUUUGUAAGAAAUUUUUUGUAACACCC
rnacentral:rRNA from 1 species